GACGAACGCUGGCGGCGUGCCUAAUACAUGCAAGUCGAACGAGAGCAACCGGUGCUUGCACUGGUCAAUCUAGUGGCGAACGGGUGAGUAACACGUGGGUAACCUGCCCAUCAGAGGUGGAUAACAUCCGGAAACGGAUGCUAAAACCACAUAUGUCUUCGAACCGCAUGGUUUGGAGAGGAAAAGAUGCUCAAGCUUCUGCUGAUGGAUUGACCCGCGGUUCAUUAGCUAGUUGGUGAGGUAACGGCUCACCAAUGCCGUGAUGCAUAGCCGAACUGAGAGGGUGAUCGGCAACAUUGGGACUGAGACACGGACAAAACUACUAAGGGAGGCAGCAGUAGGGAAUCUUCCGCAAUGGACGCAAGUCUGACGGAGCAACGCCGAGUGAGUGAAGAAGGUUUUCGGAUCGUAAAACUCUGUUGUUAGAGAAGAACAAGUGCUAGAGUAACUGUUAGCGCCUUGACGGUAUCUAAACAGAAAGCCACGGCUAACUACGUG
rnacentral:rRNA from 1 species